GAUGAACGCUGGCGGCGUGCCUAAUACAUGCAAGUCGAGCGAACAGACGAGGAGCUUGCUCCUCUGACGUUAGCGGCGGACGGGUGAGUAACACGUGGAUAACCUACCUAUAAGACUGGGAUAACUUCGGGAAACCGGAGCUAAUACCGGAUAACAUGUUGAACCGCAUGGUUCAACAGUGAAAGACGGUCUUGCUGUCACUUAUAGAUGGAUCCGCGCCGCAUUAGCUAGUUGGUAAGGUAACGGCUUACCAAGGCAACGAUGCGUAGCCGACCUGAGAGGGUGAUCGACCACACUGGAACUGAGACACGGUCCAGACUCCUACGGGAGGCAGCAGUAGGGAAUCUUCCGCAAUGGGCGAAAGCCUGACGGAGCAACGCCGCGUGAGUGAAGAAGGUCUUCGGAUCGUAAAACUCUGUUAUUAGGGAAGAACAAAUGUGUAAGUAACUAUGCACGUCUUGACGGUACCUAAUCAGAAAGCCACGGCUAACUACGUG
rnacentral:rRNA from 1 species